CUGGAGGUAUCAGAAGUGCGAAUGCUGACAUAAGUAACGAUAAAGCGGGUGAAAAGCCCGCUCGCCGGAAGACCAAGGGUUCCUGUCCAACGUUAAUCGGGGCAGGGUGAGUCGACCCCUAAGGCGAGGCCGAAAGGCGUAGUCGAUGGGAAACGGGUUAAUAUUCCCGUACUUGGUGUUACUGCGAAGGGGGGACGGAGAAGGCUAUGUUGGCCGGGCGACGGUUGUCCCGGUUUAAGCGUGUAGGUGUGUGUUCCAGGUAAAUCCGGUUCACUUUAACACUGAGGCGUGAUGACGAGGCACUACGGUGCUGAAGCAACAAAUGCCCUGCUUCCAGGAAAAGCCUCUAAGCAUCAGGUAACAUCAAAUCGUACCCCAAACCGACACAGGUGGUCAGGUAGAGAAUACCAAGGCGCUUGAGAGAACUCGGGUGAAGGAACUAGGCAAAAUGGUGCCGUAACUUCGGGAGAAGGCACGCUGAUAUGUAGGUGAAGCGGUUUACCCGUGGAGCUGAAAUCAGUCGAAGAUACCAGCUGGCUGCAACUGUUUAUUAAAAACACAGCACUGUGCAAACACGAAAGUGGACGUAUACGGUGUGACGCCUGCCCGGUGCCGGAAGGUUAAUUGAUGGGGUCAGCGCAAGCGAAGCUCCUGAUCGAAGCCCCGGUAAACGGCGGCCGUAACUAUAACGGUCCUAAGGUAGCGAAAUUCCUUGUCGGGUAAGUUCCGACCUGCACGAAUGGCGUAAUGAUGGCCAGGCUGUCUCCACCCGAGACUCAGUGAAAUUGAACUCGCUGUGAAGAUGCAGUGUACCCGCGGCAAGACGGAAAGACCCCGUGAACCUUUACUAUAGCUUGACACUGAACAUUGAGCCUUGAUGUGUAGGAUAGGUGGGAGGCUUUGAAGUGUGGACGCCAGUCUGCAUGGAGCCGACCUUGAAAUACCACCCUUUAAUGUUUGAUGUUCUAACGUGGACCCGUUACCCGGGUUGCGGACAGUGUCUGGUGGGUAGUUUGACUGGGGCGGUCUCCUCCUAAAGAGUAACGGAGGAGCACGAAGGUUGGCUAAUCCUGGUCGGACAUCAGGAGGUUAGUGCAAUGGCAUAAGCCAGCUUGACUGCGAGCGUGACGGCGCGAGCAGGUGCGAAAGCAGGUCAUAGUGAUCCGGUGGUUCUGAAUGGAAGGGCCAUCGCUCAACGGAUAAAAGGUACUCCGGGGAUAACAGGCUGAUACCGCCCAAGAGUUCAUAUCGACGGCGGUGUUUGGCACCUCGAUGUCGGCUCAUCACAUCCUGGGGCUGAAGUAGGUCCCAAGGGUAUGGCUGUUCGCCAUUUAAAGUGGUACGCGAGCUGGGUUUAGAACGUCGUGAGACAGUUCGGUCCCUAUCUGCCGUGGGCGCUGGAGAACUGAGGGGGGCUGCUCCUAGUACGAGAGGACCGGAGUGGACGCAUCACUGGUGUUCGGGUUGUCAUGCCAAUGGCACUGCCCGGUAGCUAAAUGCGGAAGAGA
rnacentral:rRNA from 1 species